GGGCGGUUAGCUCAGCGGUAGAGCACUGCUUUCACACGGCAGGGGUCACUGGUUCAAGCCCAGUACCGCCCACCA
rnacentral:tRNA from 1 species